rnacentral:rRNA from 1 species
GGGUAAGUUCCGACCUGCACGAAUGGCGUAACGAUGGCCACACUGUCUCCACCCGGGACUCAGUGAAAUUGAAAUUGCUGUGAAGAUGCAGUGUACCCGCGGCUAGACGGAAAGACCCCGUGAACCUUUACUACAGCUUUGUACUGGAUCUUGAGCCAGCUUGUGCAGGAUAGGUGGGAGGCUUUGAAACGAGGACGCCAGUUCUCGUGGAGCCAACCUUGAAAUACCACCCUGGCUUGUUUGAGGUUCUAACCCAGGCCCGUUAUCCGGGUCGGGGACAGUGCAUGGUGGGUAGUUUGACUGGGGCGGUCUCCUCCCAAAGAGUAACGGAGGAGCACAAAGGUACCCUCAGCGCGGUCGGACAUCGCGCAUUGCGUGUAAAGGCAAAAGGGUGCUUGACUGCGAGACGUACAAGUCGAGCAGGGACGAAAGUCGGUCUUAGUGAUCCGGUGGUUCUGUAUGGAAUGGCCAUCGCUAAACGGAUAAAAGGUACUCCGGGGAUAACAGGCUGAUUCCUCCCAAGAGUCCACAUCGACGGAGGAGUUUGGCACCUCGAUGUCGGCUCAUCACAUCCUGGGGCUGUAGCAGGUCCCAAGGGUAUGGCUGUUCGCCAUUUAAAGUGGUACGCGAGCUGGGUUUAGAACGUCGUGAGACAGUUCGGUCCCUAUCUGCCGUGGGCGUUGGAAACUUGAGGGGAGCUUCUCCUAGUACGAGAGGACCGGAGUGGACGUACCUCUGGUGUUCCGGUUGUCACGCCAGUGGCAUUGCCGGGUAGCUAUGUACGGAAGGGAUAACCGCUGAAAGCAUCUAAGCGGGAAGCCCACCCCAAGAUUAGGUUUCCCGGAUCUUCGGAUCCCUGAAGGGCCCUUGAAGACUACAAGGUUGAUAGGCUGGGUGUGGAAGCGCGGCAACGCGUGAAGCUAACCAGUACUAAUUGCCCGUGCGGCUUAA